AGAGUUUGAUCCUGGCUCAGGAUGAACGCUAGCGGCAGGCCUAACACAUGCAAGUCGAGGGGCAGCACGGUGUAGCAAUACACUGGUGGCGACCGGCGCACGGGUGCGUAACGCGUAUGCAACCUACCCAUAACAGGGGGAUAACACUGAGAAAUUGGUACUAAUACCCCAUAACAUCAGGACCGGCAUCGGUUCUGGUUGAAAACUCCGGUGGUUAUGGAUGGGCAUGCGUUGUAUUAGCUGGUUGGUGAGGUAACGGCUCACCAAGGCAACGAUACAUAGGGGGACUGAGAGGUUAACCCCCCACAUUGGUACUGAGACACGGACCAAACUCCUACGGGAGGCAGCAGUGAGGAAUAUUGGUCAAUGGACGCAAGUCUGAACCAGCCAUGCCGCGUGCAGGAAGACGGCUCUAUGAGUUGUAAACUGCUUUUGUACGAGAGUAAACGCUCUUACGUGUAAGAGCCUGAAAGUAUCGUACGAAUAAGGAUCGGCUAACUCCGUGCCAGCAGCCGCGGUAAUACGGAGGAUCCAAGCGUUAUCCGGAUUUAUUGGGUUUAAAGGGUGCGUAGGCGGUUUGAUAAGUUAGAGGUGAAAUACCGGUGCUUAACACCGGAACUGCCUCUAAUACUGUUGAACUAGAGAGUAGUUGCGGUAGGCGGAAUGUAUGGUGUAGCGGUGAAAUGCUUAGAGAUCAUACAGAACACCGAUUGCGAAGGCAGCUUACCAAACUAUAUCUGACGUUGAGGCACGAAAGCGUGGGGAGCAAACAGGAUUAGAUACCCUGGUAGUCCACGCAGUAAACGAUGAUAACUCGUUGUCGGCGAUACACAGUCGGUGACUAAGCGAAAGCGAUAAGUUAUCCACCUGGGGAGUACGUUCGCAAGAAUGAAACUCAAAGGAAUUGACGGGGGCCCGCACAAGCGGAGGAACAUGUG
rnacentral:rRNA from 1 species